UUUUUAAUCCAAUUGCCUGAUCCAAUAUGGCAGCUCGUUGCAUCAAGAACAGGACGUUUAUAAGAAAAACAACACAACAGCUUUCCUGACUGUCUCCAUAUUGGAAUCCUAACCUUUUGUUUUUAUGUUUUUAUUUUGGAAUCCUGACUUCUUGGACUGCAUUAACUGCAGCGCUGUUGACUCGGGUUUGCGGCUUUCCCAGCUCCUAUUUUCUUUUUCCAAGGCAAGUGGAACGCAACAGUAGAGCUACCACGUUCUGGGUCGGUCCUGGGUUUGUCGCCCUUCGGGACGUGCCCAUAAAAGAUCCACAUGGAGACAUUAUCGAAAGACACCCUAACCACUUUCGUUGAAUCCUAUAUAUACAAAGAAGAAGUACCGUUACUCUGAACUCCCACCCAGAAAAUGAACCCACUAUCACCAAGAAGUGGUCAUUGUGAUUUAAAGUACAAAGUGAGGACCUUGCCUUGACUUUCAUUGACUUCCAUUAAUUUCCGCCCUUUCUAUGGCCUCACCCUGAACCCAACCCUAACCAUAUUUACAUCAAAAGACUCUUUUAGUGACAUAUUUAUGCAUUAGAUGAGAAACAUUCGACCGGCGCUUUAAUUAAAAAUCUCCGGACAUCUUGUGUUUCUCAUAAGUUCCGCACGAUAAUCGAUCAGAGUGAAAUCAUUUCUUAGACAUGAACUGAGGAGGAGAGCUAAUUCUUACAUGACAGCAGCAGUCCUUCAUCUAUGACUAACAGAAAUGUAAAAACAAACAAACACAGCCUCCAACUUUCACAUUCCUUCAUCUCUCCUCCUUAAUGUCUCCAGUCGCCUCCUUACAUCUGCUCUAAAGAGACGACCUCAACUCUCUGUGCGAGCGUGCUCCACGCUCACGGCUGUGCCAGGCUCGCAUCCCGGCGCAGCCUGGCACCAAGCAUUGAGUCACAGAACUCGCGCGACCCAGACGCUGUCUUUGUCAAGGCAGCACCCUGAAAUACAGGCAUAGUUGUGGGAGUGGAGACUGGUGAGGCGGGGAUAACCUUUUUCUCUGGAGGUGAUUAAUACAAACUGAGCCAUUAACAGCGAGGGGGAUGACAGCCCAUGUCAGUGCGGGAGCAGGCCGACACAUUUAUCUGCUCAGAAGAUUGAACGCUAACAGUUGGAGUGCAAGAACGACUCAUCGCGUCUUGCGAAUACAGCAAACCAAGCGGAGGAGGAUGAAGAAAUCUGCAGAGAUUCAAGCAAGGAAAGCGUGGGCAGGGGCAUCAUUAAAGAACAUGUUCCAACAAAAUCUGAAUAUUCUUCCAAAUCAUCCGUAGGAUUCAUGCAGCGCCUUGCUAAAGUACUCAUACCAGUUUUUCACAUUUGGAAUGAAAACGCUAAGUUUUUCCUUUUUCUCCAACUAAAAAUCUAAAAAGGGUGGAAAGCAUUUGUACUCUUCUACAUAGAAGCACGUUUCUUUUGCUAAAGAGCUCAAAUUUAAUUAGACUGCAUGGAGAGCGGUGUGAACACAGAUUCUGGAUUGUAUUAAUGUGUGGCCUUUGACUAGGCCGUCCUACAACACAACACAAGGAUUCAGUUUGGUGUAUUCCUUAGUCUUUCUAUAGUUAUCUAAGAGUUUAUUGUUUUGUUUUGUUUUUUAUCUUAUACUUGCUUGCAAAUUAUUGCUGUUCGCUUCCUUUCUCUAGAAGCUGCUGGAAAUUUAAUUUCCCUGAGGCAGUUUUUCCUAAAAGGAUCAAUAAAGAUGCAGAUUGUUGAAUAAUGUUCUCCAACACACCUGUGAGGCUUUCACAGAGCAAUAAUUUCAGCUGGAC